rnacentral:pre_miRNA from 1 species
UUUAAGCGUAAUCAUAAGUUUUCGUGUACAUCUUUGAUCGUAUAUUUUAUUUAAAAUACUUUUUAAAAAAUUAAAGAACAUAAGUCACACAUAAAAGUAUUAUUUAUAUUUUAUCAUCUAAUAAUAAUAAAAAUACUCUCUCCGUCCCAAAAUGUAGCAACAUAGGAUGGGAUGAGACCUAUUAUAGGACUAUGAAUCUGGACAUGCUCAUUAUAAAAAAAAAGUUAAAUAAAACAGAUGAUCAAAGUUGAACACAAAAACUUAGGACUGCGCUUAAA